UAGAAUGGUAGUUUAAGUGCCUGCCAGUUGUUGAUCAAUUUGUGUGUGCUUCAAGGUUAUAGCAUGACUGAUCAAUCUCGUCAGGAAAUUAGACAUCUUUCAUCAACUUUGCCUAAUCUAGUCCCUGAAGUAUAUUAUGCUCAGUUUGGUGCUCAGCAGUAUUUAACUAACACAGCCAUUAAUACUGUUUUUUCUACAUCAGUGAUGAUAGCUCUCAGUGGCAGUUUGUGAGACGUUUCUAUACCCACCAGUCAGUCACUGGCACUCCAUCAUAUCUUGAAUACACUGAAAUCAAUAUACAGUUAACCAGUCGUGGUCACAUUCAGUCUCCAUAUCUUAGACUCUCCUAUCAGGCUAUACCUACCAAUGAUGCACAAGCUUCAUUUGUUGUUAGAUACAGUGGAGGAAAUAAUGCUUUUAAUAUUGCUUUAUUAGUAAUAGCUAGUGUGUUUGUUACUCUAACUGCAGUCUAUGCUGGCUAGUUCAUAAUCGUAUUAGUAAAUAAUAUU
rnacentral:misc_RNA from 1 species